UUUAUUUAAAGUCUGGUCUGCUCACUGAAAUUUAAAGAGCCGCAGUAUUUUGACUGUGCGAAGGUAGCAUAAUAAUUAGUUACUUGAUUAGUAACUGGUAUGAAUGGCUGGACGAGAAACCUGCUGUCUCUUUUUAAUUACAAUGAAUUUUAUUUUUAAGUUAAAAAGCUUAGAUUUUUUUAAAAGACGAGAAGACCCUAUAGAGUUUUAUUUUUCUUUUUUGUGUUAGUUUUAAGUAUUUAAUAUUUUACAUUUGGGGAAAAUUUAAUUGGGGUGAUUGAAAAAUUGAUUUAACUUUUUUUUUAUUUGAACAAAUUUAAUUGAACAUUUGAUCCAUUUUUUGUGAUUAUAAGACUAAAUUACCUUAGGGAUAACAGCGUAAUCUUUCUUGAGAGUCCUUAUCGAAAGGAGGGGUUGCG
rnacentral:rRNA from 1 species